rnacentral:rRNA from 1 species
GAUGAACGCUCGCUAUAGGCUUAACACAUGCAAGUCGAGGGGAAACGGCAUUAUGUUCUUGCACAUUUUGGACGUCGACCGGCGCACGGGUGAGUAUCGCGUAUCCCAUCUGCCCUUUACUUGGGGAUACCCCGUUGAAAGACGGCCUAAUACCCGAUGUAAUUCAUUGAUGGCAUCAGAUAUGAAUAAAAGAUUUAUCGGUAAUGGAUGGGGAUGCGUCUGAUUAGCUUGUUGGUGAGGUAACGGCUCACCAAGGCGACGAUCAGUAGGGGUUCUGAGAGGAAGGUCCCCCACAGUGGAACUGAGACACAGUCCAAACAGCUACGGGGGGGAGCAGUGAGGAAUAUAGGUGAAUGGGCGCAAGCCUGAACCAGCCAAGUAGCGUGCAGGAAGACGGCGCUAGGGAUUGUAAACUGCUUGUAUACAAGAAUAAUUUGAUGCACGUGUGCGUUAUUGAAUGUAACGUAUGAAUAAGGACCGGCUAAUUACGUG